rnacentral:rRNA from 1 species
AACGAACGCUGGCGGCAUGCCUAACACAUGCAAGUCGAACGAGACCUUCGGGUCUAGUGGCGCACGGGUGCGUAACGCGUGGGAACCUGCCCUUAGGUUCGGAAUAACUCCCCGAAAGGGGUGCUAAUACCGGAUAAUGUCUUCGGACCAAAGAUUUAUCGCCUUUGGAUGGGCCCGCGUUGGAUUAGCUAGUUGGUAGUGUAAAAGCCUACCAAGGCGACGAUGCAUAGCUGGUCUGAGAGGAUGAUCAGCCACACUGGGACUGAGACACGGCCCAGACUCCUACGGGAGGCAGCAGUGGGGAAUAUUGGACAAUGGGCGAAAGCCUGAUCCAGCAAUGCCGCGUGAGUGAUGAAGGCCUUAGGGUUGUAAAGCUCUUUUACCCGGGAUGAUAAUGACAGUACCGGGAGAAUAAGCUCCGGCUAACUCCGUG